AACAGAGAUAAAAUUAUACCCCUCUUAGUUUUAUGGUAAGGAUUAGAUAAAAUAACACGUAUUACCAAAUAGCACAGUUCUUGGUAGAUUUUCUUUUAUUUACUUUCUCCUUCAAAUACCCACUGGGUAAUUUUUUACCCCUCGAGAAGCCUUGGAAAAGCAGUGAUACUGGAUGCAUUCCCUUAUCUUAUCACUUGUCACAUUCAUUAUGCUGAAAUCAUUCAUUUAAGUGUGACUCUCUCUUUUAUUUUCCAUCAGGCGGCAGGUUCCUUGAGAUCCAGGGCCAUGUGUUAUCCGUUUUGAUGUCCCCAGUGUCAGACUUAAUGCCUGGGAACACAAUAGGAAUUCAACCAAUGUGGAGCUGCUGAACUAUUGAACCACCAGAUAGAGCUUUUGAGGGUGACCGAUCGUUAUUGCCUUUAGAAAAGCAAGAUUGGUGGGUUACACCCACACAGAGCCAAGUUAGACUAUUUUCUGGAAUUUGUUUAACCCAGGAUAGACUGGGAGCUCCAUGAGGUCCGAGACAACCUGAAGACGCCCAGCUCAGCAGAGACUGGCUACGGCAAUCACUCAGUAACUAUUUGUUGAAUUGGACAUAAUAGAAGAGCUGAAGAAUUUUAAACAAGUCACCAUCAGUGCAGUGGAUUCCUCAAAGCAAACCUGGAAAUCUCGGCAUGAGUUGGAUUUAAGGCAGUACAUUUUCAGCUCCUGAAAAUUUGAACAGUUUCUCAAGAGAACAACUUGAAACAGAAAGGCAAGGAUGUAGAUGUGGUUGUAGAAGAUGAUGUCUGCGGCCACCAAACUGUCCACUGUGAAGACAAACCAUG
rnacentral:lncRNA from 1 species